GACGAACGCUGGUGGCGUGCUUAACACAUGCAAGUCGAACGGGAUUUAGUAAACAGAAGCCUCGGUGGAAGAUUACUAAUGAGAGUGGCGAACGGGUGAGUAACGCGUGAGCAACCUGCCUAUGACAGUGGGAUAGCCUCGGGAAACCGGGAUUAAUACCGCAUAAAAUCGUAGAAACACAUGUUUUAACGGUCAAAGAUUUAUCGGUCAUAGAUGGGCUCGCGUCUGAUUAGCUAGUUGGUGAGAUAACAGCCCACCAAGGCGACGAUCAGUAGCCGGUCUGAGAGGAUGAACGGCCACAUUGGAACUGAGACACGGUCCAAACUCCUACGGGAGGCAGCAGUGGGGAAUAUUGCACAAUGGGGGAAACCCUGAUGCAGCGACGCCGCGUGAACGAAGAAGGUAUUCGUAUCGUAAAGUUCUGUCCUAUGGGAAGAUAAUGACGGUACCAUAGAAGAAAGCUCCGGCUAAAUACGUG
rnacentral:rRNA from 1 species